AACUAGGUCGAGGUACGCACAUUCAAGCCUAUCCCAAGCCUCCGGUGGAAAGUACUUCUUGUUAAACUCGUCUUCGAAAUCCGCAAAGGACCGGACCUCGUCCCCUC
rnacentral:sRNA from 1 species